rnacentral:tRNA from 1 species
AGCGGAGUGGGGCAGCUAGGUCAGCCCGCUGGGCUCAUAACCCAGAGGUCGCGUGUUCGAAUCACGUCUCCGCCAC